rnacentral:pre_miRNA from 1 species
UCUUAAGUGUGAACAAAGAAAGUGGUUCCUUGAGAUGGAAUCUGCUCCCAAUGAAAAUGCUGUGAA